GGAAUUUUUAUUUUUUUUUUUUUUAAGAAAAAGGGGGGGCCCCGCAAAAACAGGAAGGGGAAGGUUUUUUCUUCACGGGGGGUUUCUCCCCGAAAAAAAAGACGGGGAAAGGGGGGAAAAAAGGGGGAAACCUCCCCUCCAAGGGGGGAAAACAUGGGAAACAGGUGUAAAUCCGUUAAAAAUAGAAACCGCAGUGUUUAUGUUUGAAAGGCCUUUUUGGGGUCCCUGAUGGAUGGACCCGGGGUGCAUUAGGUAGUUGGUGAAGUAACGGGUUAACAAGGGCAAGAAGGAUUGGCGACCUGAGAAGGUGAUUGGGCACCAUGGGAAUGAGACCAGGGCCAAAAUUCUUCGGGAGGCCGCCGUAGGGAAUUCUUGGCAAAGGAAGGAAGUUUGGACGAGGAAAGCCGGGUGGGUGGAGGAGGUUUUUGGAUUGUAAAAAUUUGGUGGUAGGGAAGAACAAGGGUGAGAAUAAAAUGUUCAUCCCUUGACGGUAUCUAACCAGAAAGCCACGGCUAACUACGUGCCAGCAGCCGCGGUAAUACGUAGGUGGCAAGCGUUGUCCGGAUUUAUUGGGCGUAAAGCGAGCGCAGGCGGUUUCUUAAGUCUGAUGUGAAAGCCCCCGGCUCAACCGGGGAGGGUCAUUGGAAACUGGGAAACUUGAGUGCAGAAGAGGAGAGUGGAAUUCCAUGUGUAGCGGUGAAAUGCGUAGAUAUAUGGAGGAACACCAGUGGCGAAGGCGGCUCUCUGGUCUGUAACUGACGCUGAGGCUCGAAAGCGUGGGGAGCAAACAGGAUUAGAUACCCUGGUAGUCCACGCCGUAAACGAUGAGUGCUAAGUGUUGGAGGGUUUCCGCCCUUUCAGUGCUGCAGCUAACGCAUUAAGCACUUA
rnacentral:rRNA from 1 species